GGCGAAAACUGGAUUCUGGAGCCAGAGAGCCAGGUUUCAAAUCCUGGGUCUGCUCUUCCUAGAAAGAAUUUUCCACUUCUCCAUGUGGCCUCAUUGGGACCGACAUCAUGGGGCCAUCUUCUCCAGCCUGGUCUAUCUGUAGCAGGAAAAGAAUGCGGCAAACACUCAAAGAGAAACCAAAGCAAGCAGAUACAACAACAAGUGGUCAGAGAUGAAAUAUCCUGAUAGAGUUGAGCCCUGGAUUCUAGUCCCUGGGGCCCAAAUUCUUACAGAUCUAGGAAUUCUAUGAGCUACCCUGGCUGUAUCCUUUCUAGCUACUUGAGGCAAUUCUUCAUCUGCUUCUGAGAGUUAUCAUCUACCUUCAAAAAGAGUACAAUUGUUCAUCAAAAUCAACUAAUACAGCUUUCUAGAGGAGAGACCCCACAACUAUGCUUUUAUCUUUUACUUGACUCAAAAAUUCUGCUUUGAGCUCAGAAAGCUGUGUUAGCUAACCAUUACUGUAUAAUGAAUCACUCCAAAAUUUAGCAGUUUAAAACAAUAAACAUUUAUUAUUUCA